rnacentral:rRNA from 1 species
GUGGGGAAUCUUGCGCAAUGGGCGAAAGCCUGACGCAGCCAUGCCGCGUGAAUGAUGAAGGUCUUAGGAUUGUAAAAUUCUUUCACCGGGGACGAUAAUGACGGUACCCGGAGAAGAAGCCCCGGCUAACUUCGUGCCAGCAGCCGCGGUAAUACGACGGGGGCUAGCGUUGCUCGGAAUUACUGGGCGUAAAGGGCGCGUAGGCGGACAGUUUAGUCAGAGGUGAAAGCCCAGGGCUAAACCUUGGAAUUGCCUUUGAUACUGGCUGUCUUGAGUGCGGGAGAGGUGAGUGGAACUCCGAGUGUAGAGGUGAAAUUCGUAGAUAUUCGGAAGAACACCAGUGGCGAAGGCGACUCACUGGCCCGUUACUGACGCUGAGGCGCGAAAGCGUGGGGAGCAAACAGGAUUAGAAACCCUGGUAGUCC